rnacentral:rRNA from 1 species
UUGAACGCUGGCGGCAUGCUUUACACAUGCAAGUCGAACGGUAACAGGCCUUCGGGUGCUGACGAGUGGCGAACGGGUGAGUAAUGCAUCGGAACGUGCCCAAUCGUGGGGGAUAACGUAGCGAAAGUUACGCUAAUACCGCAUACGUCCUGAGGGAGAAAGCGGGGGACCUGCAAGGGCCUCGCGCGAUUGGAGCGGCCGAUAUCGGAUUAGCUAGUUGGUGGGGUAAAGGCUCACCAAGGCGACGAUCCGUAGCGGGUCUGAGAGGACGACCCGCCACACUGGAACUGAGACACGGUCCAGACUCCUACGGGAGGCAGCAGUGGGGAAUUUUGGACAAUGGGGGCAACCCUGAUCCAGCCAUUCCGCGUGAGUGAAGAAGGCCUUCGGGUUGUAAAGCUCUUUCAGCAGGAACGAAACGGUCGGCUUUAAUAAAGUCGGCUAAUGACGGUACCUGCAGAAGAAGCACCGGCUAACUACGU